rnacentral:lncRNA from 1 species
GAUGAAAGCUCUGAUAUGCUGUUUCAAGGACAAAGGUCCCGGUCCACCGGCGCUCAACGACACUGAGCUGACGAGGGCUGCCCUGACCCGGAACAUGUCACGUCUGAAGGCGCUGUACGAGCGCUACAAGCGGAUACGGGAUUUUUUCCUCGGCUGCUUCAACUGGGAGUCCAUCCCGCGGUCCAUCAUCUCCCUCGUGCUGCUCACGUGGCUGACCCUGCAGGGCGAGCCGUACAUGGUGCCCUUGAUCGGUGCCCUGCUCUUCUUCGCCGAAAUGAUCGCCGCCA